rnacentral:misc_RNA from 1 species
GUGACAACUUCUUUCAUCUAAAUGUGUACUAUUAACAUCAGAGCUUCUAAGAGGCAGUUCAGUAGCAUCCCUCAUUAAACCUUUCCAUUCUCUUUUGCGUCGACUUCUGCAGAAGUUAUCACACUUUCCUUCACCAGAUCCAGAAUCAAUGUGAUGAAAUUCAUUCUUAUCAGCCAACUCUCCCAGUGCCGGUUUUGUUUUGACUACAUCACUAGUACAAGUCUCCUGAGGCUGUACAUAUAAAUCCAAAUUUGAGGCCAGGUGAUCCCACAGCCAAG